rnacentral:rRNA from 1 species
GAUGAACGCUGGCGGCGUGCCUAAUACAUGCAAGUCGAGCGAACAGACGAGGAGCUUGCUCCUCUGACGUUAGCGGCGGACGGGUGAGUAGCACGUGGAUAACCUACCUAUAAGACUGGGAUAACUUCGGGAAACCGGAGCUAAUACCGGAUAAUAUAUUGAACCGCAUGGUUCAAUAGUGAAAGACGGUUUUGCUGUCACUUAUAGAUGGAUCCGCGCCGCAUUAGCUAGUUGGUAAGGUAACGGCUUACCAAGGCAACGAUGCGUAGCCGACCUGAGAGGGUGAUCGCCCACACUGGAACUGAGACACGGUCCAGACUCCUACGGGAGGCAGCAGUAGGGAAUCUUCCGCAAUGGGCGAAAGCCUGACGGAGCAACGCCGCGUGAGUGAUGAAGGUCUUCGGAUCGUAAAACUCUGUUAUUAGGGAAGAACAAAUGUGUAAGUAACUAUGCACGUCUUGACGGUACCUAAUCAGAAAGCCACGGCUAACUACGUG